rnacentral:rRNA from 1 species
CAUCGCCACGGUAAUACGUAGGGUGCAAGCGUUAAUCGGAAUUACUGGGCGUAAAGCGUGCGCAGGCGGCUUUGCAAGACAGAUGUGAAAUCCCCGGGCUCAACCUGGGAACUGCAUUUGUGACUGCAUGGCUAGAGUACGGUAGAGGGGGAUGGAAUUCCGCGUGUAGCAGUGAAAUGCGUAGAUAUGCGGAGGAACACCGAUGGCGAAGGCAAUCCCCUGGACCUGUACUGACGCUCAUGCACGAAAGCGUGGGGAGCAAACAGGAUUAGAUACCCCAGUAGUCCCUGUCUCUUAUACA